GGCAGUGGUAGCUCAGUGGUGAAGAUGUUAGACUACUGAUCAGAAGGUUAUAAGUUCAAAUCUAAGCACUGCUA